UGAGGAAUAUUGGUCAAUGGACGAGAGUCUGAACCAGCCAAGUCGCGUGAAGGAAGACGGUUCUAUGAAUUGUAAACUUCUUUUGUGCAGGAAUAAAGUGGGUUACGUGUAACCUUUUGUAUGUACUGUACGAAUAAGGAUCGGCUAACUCCGUGCCAGCAGCCGCGGUAAUACGGAGGAUCCGAGCGUUAUCCGGAUUUAUUGGGUUUAAAGGGUGCGUAGGUGGAUUGAUAAGUCAGCGGUGAAAGUUUGCAGCUUAACUGUAAAAUUGCCGUUGAAACUGUCGGUCUUGAGUGCAAAUGAGGUAGGCGGAAUGUGUUGUGUAGCGGUGAAAUGCUUAGAUAUAACACAGAACUCCGAUUGCGAAGGCAGCUUACUGGGAUGCAACUGACACUGAUGCACGAAAGCGUGGGUAUCAAACA
rnacentral:rRNA from 2 species